rnacentral:rRNA from 1 species
AGAAUCAACGCUGGCGGCGUGCCUCAGACAUGCAAGUCGAACGCGAAAGUCCCCUUCGGGGGCAAGUAGAGUGGCGCACGGGUGAGUAACACGUAGGUAAUCUACCUUUGGAUGGGGAAUAACAACCGGAAACGGUUGCUAAUACCGCAUAAUGCAGCGGCACCUAAUGGUGACAGUUGUUAAAGCGGGGGAUCGAAAGACCUCGCGUCUGAAGAGGAGCCUGCGGCGGAUUAGCUAGUUGGUAGGUAACGGCCUACCAAGGCUACGAUCC